UUUUUUGUGUUGUUUUU
rnacentral:sRNA from 1 species